UGAGCAGCAUGCCCACCACCCUCCAAUCCCUAAUCAUAUACUUAUUUGUACUUUUUAUGUGUUUCUGCACAAGGGAACACUAGAUUAACACUGUAAUUCACCAAUGUUUGUUUCAUUCCUCCCUGUAGCACAGAAGAAAGGAAAAUUGUGUAACAGUAGUAUGAUAUGGAGGAAACUGCUCUCGCUGACAGCUCCAGAAGUGAUAUUUAAACCAAUAAAGAAUGUCAAUGAGGAAGCAUGUGACUCCAGAUGCUGUUGGCAGGCAUCCUAUGACCACAAAGGGAGCUCACUUUGGAAUGAAGCUGAUGGUCUGAGGAAAGAAAGUAGGGCUUCGAUGAUACUGUUAAACAAUCUAAAACACUGAUCCUACAACCUUUCUGGAUUUUCUAAUGUGUAAACCAAUAAAGCCACUUGUUUAAACCAG